AGUAACUAUUCAGUAUACAGUGUAGCAUUGUUAACUAUAGUCACCAGGCCGUAAUGUCUCAUGUAAUUCUCUGAAGGAUAUUAUGAAGUAGCUGCUCUCAUUUCCACUUUAAAGAUGGUAAUAUUGGGGGCAGAAGAGUCAACUGAUUUUCGGGCUAGUCAGCAUGCUAGUCAACGUCAGAAGUGAGAUUCAAAGGCAUCUGACAGCUAUGCUUCUACCAAAUAAGGAGCAGGUGAAGAAGAAUCUCAGGAGCUAGAUCUUUUGGUCAUGGGGCUUCCCAGAGUUGAGGAUAGAAGCAUGGAGUGCUGGCCUAGAUAAUCAAGUGAUUCAAGCAAGACCUAAGUAGCAGAGGAAGUGACAAUUAGAAGACCCAGACUGGGAAACCAGGGUUCCCUGAACCAGAGUGGUUCAGAGGCAAGUUUUGCAGACAGGGUAUGAAGCUGAGAAUUUAAAAAUGAGCUAAACAAGAAAAUGUAAGCAGAUUAUCAGGGUGGAAGGGAGACCCAGAUUAUGGGUUCCAAGCUAUUUUUAGGAUACCCAUUGAUUUUCAUAGGUUUUUCUGUUUGCUUGUUUUGGUUAUGAGCAGGACAAAGGGGAUUUAUGUUCUAAAUAAAACGUACAAGGUAGAAUAAUUAUUGGGCACCCUCCCUUUUGAAAACAUAGAUUAAAAACGUAUUAUUGGAAAGCAAACUAUGCACUAGAAAUUAGGUGAAAUUUUUGCUCUCUUUUUAACUUUUUGAAACACAGCUAUGCAUACUUAUUGUAAAAACAGAGCGAUUGUGUUUUUUUCUUUGUUUGUGUGAGAGAGAGAGGAGGAGAAAUGGAGAGUAUAAAGUUCUUUUGUUUUGGUACCUUUUUACCCUAAUCAAAUUCCCUCUUGUAGAGCCUCCACUGUGAAUAAGAAAUAUCACUAUUGCAAGAUUCAUAAUAUUCCAUUUAUUUGAUAUAAGGCAGGACACAUUUCUUUUUUUCUGACUACUGGAAGAGACUCGUCUUUUGUUCUUUCAUGAACUAAUCUUCUCAAAGCUUCCUUUACUCUUGACUUGUGUUUCCAGACCAGAAAUGUACUCAGAUUCAAAUCUAGGGGCAGUGCUAAGUCAACGAAAAGUGUACAUGGUCUUCUAUUGUGCUAUUUUGUUUGUUUUGACACUGUAGCCUUCUGUGUGGGUGGAACUCGGCUAGUUCAUGCUGUACUGUUCACAGAGGGAAAUAUUGGGGUCACGAGAAGCUGUUUUACAGGUCAGCCAAACCACAGCAUAUAAGCACUACUCUGCUGCUGCUGCUGCUAAGUCACUUCAGUCAUGUUCGACUCUGUGUGACCCUAUAGACGGCAGCCCACCAGGCUCCCCUGUCCCUGGGAUUCUCCAGGCAAGAACACUGGAGUGGAGCUUGGAGAAGAACUCAGCUGGAACCAGGAAUGAUGGAGAAGAAAGGCUAAUGAACAGAAUGUUACUAACACCACUGAUCAGUUGCCUUGUUGUUUUUGAUUUUGGUACUGCCACAAGCACCACAUAAAAGCGGAGAUGAUUCACAUGUUUAAUAUGAUAAAGCGCAUAUUAAAGUUUAGAUGCUUUCAGAUUUUCUAAGUCCAGCUAAGGAAGGCUACAGAGGCCAACAUUUAACCACCCUAGGGCUCAGCAAGCACCUUGUCACAACCUAAGUACUAAAGAAAAUGGUACAGUGAAAUAAAAUUUUGAGAAGUUAUAAUAAAUAAGACACUUGCUGCCUCAUUGGAUUUUAGUUAUUUCAGUAUAGAUGUUUGUGAGUACUUUUGUGUGUAUAUGUGGACUGUGUGUGUAUGAAAUUUAUAGCAAUUAUUCACAUUCAUGUUUUUCCUAUUGCAAAAAUCACAGUUCUCUUCAGUUAUUACAAAAGUUAGUGGAUAGGAAAGGGAAAGGGGGAUAGAGCAGUGAUUUACAUCUGCCAUUUUAUAAGGUCAGAGAUCUUGGAAGGAUCUGAAAAGUACAGAUGCUAAAUAGAUAUGCAUAAGAAAACUGGAAAUCUCUUAGGCAAUCACCAUUUGCAUCUCACAGACCCGAUCCUGGACAAUCCUAUUUUUCACCACUGCCAUUGGCCAGUUGGCCAAGACAACACAAGUAACUUCUGGAGAGUUAGAAAUUCAGAUGUUAUAAAUCUGCUCUUUGAAUAUGCGGGCUCUAGACCAGCACUCCUCUUUGAUGUGUCCUUGGCAACACUGAAGAAUUGUGAAUGGGUUACAGGCGUGCCAACAUAUUUAUCCCUAAGGACUUCUUGGUAGACGAGUAGCACUGAGGGUAGCCAGUGGACCCUAUAUGGUCACCUUUAGCCGUGAGCACCUUUAGAGAUUACCCCACUAUGACAUAAAAAAUGGGUUCACUUUCUAUGUUGUCAUGCAUGUACAUAGCUGGGAAGUACUGCUCUAGACCUCAGCUUCCUAUGAAGUAAGAGGAACUGGACAGGCUUAUUUUAAAGGUCUAUUCCAUCCCUAUAAUUCUAUGAGCAUAUAUCAGCCUGAAGUUAAAAUACCCAGAACUCCCUGUCCCUUAAGCCAUAGUUCCCUCAACCACAGAAGCUCAUAAAAAUUGAAUUAAAAAACAUGGACAAAUGUAGCAGAGAAUAUUUCAUGUACUGGAAAUCUACUGCAUGAUUUUUAUUGAACUCCAUACACAAAAGUCAAUCCUUGUUUUUGGAAUAGCAAAUGGACCAAAGAAGCUAUAAUAUGAUCUAUUAUUAUUUUUAAAAAAAGCUGUUAUAAGACCUGUGACAUGUCUCUGUGAUCCACCCAGUUCUCUGCUUUCUCUAAUUUGUUGUUUUUUGGCCAUCCCCAGUAGUUAGAUAGGUGGGCUCUCAAAUUCUAUGCAAAGAUGACCUUGAAAAGAGAAAAAAUAAUCAUUGACCCAUUUCAUUAGUCACCAAGGAGGAGUGUGUAAGGAGAAAGACAAUAGAACUGACUGACUCUUAUAUGUUCAAUAAUAUUCUUCUUGUAAGAAAUCAGAUUUAAUUACUUGUUGAAGAGAUACAGUGGUUUUUUUCUAGAUUCAGAAAAAAAUAUUUUUUGUCUUCAUUUUACUUUUAGUUGCCUUUCAGGAUUCCAUGUCAGGUUUGCAAUUGUCUUUUGACAUCUUAAAGACUCUGCUUAUUCCCUUGGAGAGACAUAGCUCUUUAUAGAUCUCAUAGACAAGUGUAAAGUAAAAUUAUAUCAUUUUCACUCUAUGAGAGUUCACUUUAGCACACAAUUACUUCUGAAGUCUUCUUUGACUGAUUAGAAUAAAGUUGGCAAUUCAUUUCUUGCCAUAUAAUGCCAAUGUUUUUCAAUUACUCUACCUUCUUUAGUAUAAGUUUUUCUAAAGUAAGUGAGAUAAUGGUUAUGAAAAGUUUGCAAACCAUGUGAUACCUUAUGACAUUAUUAUUGUUAUUAUUAAUCAAUUAGAAAAUAAAUACAGUGAAAUACUAUAUAAAUUUGUUCAAUAUUUUUUCAUCCUUCUUCAUCAAGCCCAUUUCCUUUAAAUGUUACUUUGUAAUUAUUUCAUAUGUCUUUGUUUACAAAAACAUUGUAGUCAUUACCCUGAAGUCAAGGGUAAACUCAAAGCUCUUUUAUAAACUGCCUGUGGUCCAUAUUUCUGUAUUCUGUGUUUUUGUUGUGUGCAAAGAAAGGAGCAGAAAGUGUGUUCAUUGCCUUUCUAACCACAAUGAUGCCAUUUCACUGAGGAAACAAUAUCAACAUAAAUGACACCAUCAGAGAAAAAUAUGAAAAAGAAUGAAUAAAGUUCUAAAGUGUCCUAGACAUUUGAUGUCACGGGAGCUUGAAAAGACUUGAUGGCUCACAGAUGCCUGUGAGCUCAGAGGACAGGACCCCUCUGAAGCUGGUGCUCAGCUGUCUUAAGAGAAAGCAAAGGAAUAAGAUUCAUAUUUACAGAUGGGGAAAAGUUAAGUGAGUAAAUACUUUUCUUAAAAAUGCCAUGACACAUUGUUGCUAACAAAAUGUCCACUCUUUAAAUCAGAAUCAUGUCUUUUCAAAUUGCUACACAUUCAUUAAAAUUUUUAGGAAAGAAUAUCAAUAUGGUAUGCAUCAUUACAUAUACUACUGUCAUCAGAAUGUGAGUCAGUGCCAAUUAAAGUCCACAAACACUUUCCAAUUGUUUGUAAGGAUCUGCAUUACAUGCUAUAAGAAAUACAAAGAUGAACAGUACUUGGUAACUUCCUUAUUGAAAUGUGAAUGGUACAGGAGGUUGGAAAUAUUUAAAUAGAAUGGAGAAAGUGAAGAAUAAGUAGCCUAAAUUUUAUUUCAAAUUUUGCCCUGAUUUGUUGUUACAGCAUGGAAAAAGCCCUUAUCCUUCUG
ensembl:lncRNA